rnacentral:sRNA from 1 species
CGAUAUGCAGACGUCCUACUCCUCCUCCCAAGGCGUGUGCGGGAACAGCAACACUCCUCCUCCCAGUUGCUGUUCGGUUAUUUUCGAAAAGCCUGCCGCACCUCCUCCCGCGGCAGGCUUUUUCG